rnacentral:rRNA from 1 species
CCUACGGGAGGCAGCAGUGAGGAAUAUUGGUCAAUGGGCGCGAGCCUGAACCAGCCAAGUAGCGUGAAGGAUGACUGCCCUACGGGUUGUAAACUUCUUUUAUAAAGGAAUAAAGUGAGGCACGUGUGCCUUUUUGUAUGUACUUUAUGAAUAAGGAUCGGCUAACUCCGUGCCAGCAGCCGCGGUAAUACGGAGGUUCCGAGCGUUAUCCGGAUGUGUGGGGGUAAAAGGGAGCGUAGAUGGGUUGUUAAGUCAGUUGUGAAAGUUUGCGGCUAAACCGUAAAAUUGCAAUGAUACUGGCAGUCUUGAGUACAGUUGAGGUAGGCGGAAUUCGUGGUGUAGCGGUGAAAUGCUUAGAUAUCACGAAGAACUCCGAUUGCGAAGGCAGCUUACUAAACUGCCACUGACAUUGAUGCUCGAAAGUGUGGGUAUCAAACAGGAUUAGAUACCCUGGUAGUC